rnacentral:rRNA from 1 species
GACGAACGCUGGCGGCGUGCUUAACACAUGCAAGUCGAACGGAAAGGCCCUGCUUUUGUGGGGUGCCCGAGUGGCGAACGGGUGAGUAACACGUGAGUAACCUGCCCUUGACUUUGGUAUAACUUCAGGAAACUGGGGCUAAUACCGGAUAGGAGCUCCUGCUGCAUGGUGGGGGUUGGAAAGUUUCGGCGGUUGGGGAUGAACUCGCGGCUUAUCAGCUUGUUGGUGGGGUAGUGGCUUACCAAGGCUUUGACGGGUAGCCGGCCUGAGAGGGUGAUCUGCCACAUUGGGACUGAGAUACGGCCCAGACUCCUACGGGAGGCAGCAGUGGGGAAUAUUGCACAAUGGGCGGAAGCCUGAUGCAGCAACGCCGCGUGCGGGAUGACGGCCUUCGGGUUGUAAACCGCUUUCGCCUGUGACGAAGCGUGAGUGACGGUAAUGGGUAAAGAAGCACCGGCUAACUACGUG